CGCCAUGGGCGACGCGAACGGACGUAGAGUACGUCGAGAUACCGACCGCACCGUUACAAGAAAAAAAUUGGACAACCACAACACCCGAGAGAUGCCUCACAGUUUGGAGCGAACAGCACGUUUCUACAGCGAAAUCUCGACGCAGCCAUGCUGCCCUGCACGGCUUCUCAUUACUUAAAAAGCAUGAAUGCGGUUGAAGCAGUACGAAAUCCCGCGGUGUUUUAUUCGAGCUAUGACGAACUGUAGUCGAUUGGACAAUUCCUGUUACAGAGAAAACUCGGCAACCGUAUGAUUCGUCCGUGUCGGCGGAAGCGACGGAGGAUGGAAGGCUUGGUCACAAGUGUUCGCAAGUUUGUGAGCGCACGGCCAGUUUUCAUGAAAAGUGAACCGCGCUGCGGUCUAUUUCUGGCCUUACAUUUCACAUCGCUGAGCGCAUCGAUAAAGGACAACGUCGUCGCGAAGAUAUGCUACCACGAAAUUAGGUUCUAGCACCUGAAGACCUGGGAGGACUGGAAGACCCUGCUGCGCUCUUGAGACCUGGCCGUGCAGACCAUGGCUACUGAUCGGGCUGCCAGCAUUAUGGACCAAAAUAACAUAAACGCUCAAGUGCAGUGGGGUCGUGCGGGGGCCUGGGGGCCUGCGUGCCCCAAACUCCUCAGUCUGUACAAUAAAGUUUUUUAUGAUGAUGA